rnacentral:rRNA from 1 species
CUACGGGUUGCAGCAGUGGGGAAUAUUGGACAAUGGGGGAAACCCUGAUCCAGCAAUGCCGCGUGUGUGAAGAAGGCCUGCGGGUUGUAAAGCACUUUCGGUUGGGAGGACUGCUUCUAGCACUAAUAUUGUUGGAAGUUGACGUUACCUUCAGAAGAAGCACCGGCUAACUCCGUGCCAGCAGCCGCGUGUAAUACGGAGGGUGCAAGCGUUAAUCGGAAUUACUGGGCGUAAAGCGCGCGUAGGCGGCUAGAUCAGUCGGGUGUGAAAGCCCCGGGCUUAACCUGGGAACUGCAUCCGAUACUGUCUAGCUUGAGUACAGGAGAGGAGAGUGGAAUUCCACAUGUAGCGGUGAAAUGCGUAGAUAUGUGGAGGAACACCAAUGGCGAAGGCAGCUCUCUGGCCUGAUACUGACGCUGAGGUGCGAAAGCGUGGGGAGCAAACAGGAUUAGAUACCCUUGUAGUC